rnacentral:lncRNA from 1 species
AAGAGUCAGAGUAUGCUUAUGCAUUUCAUAGUACAUGGUGACCGCGAUGGGGCCAUGGUGAUAGUGGUGACCAUGAUGGGCCACGGGAUGAUGCCAUGUGAAUUGUUGGUUCAUCUUAUCCUUGCGGGAAUUGUCGCGUCGUGCUGAUCUGUGAGAGAUUGCACUCUAGAAUAUGUUGAUUUGUGAGCGAUUGCACUCUAGAAAACCAUGCUGGUCUGUGAGAGGCUG